rnacentral:misc_RNA from 1 species
AGGUGUUGGUUGAAGCUCCCAGGAAAAAAAAAAUUCCCCCCCGAGCUGGUGAAAGGCCAACAAUGCCCACACGUCUCCCAUGCAUCCCCCAAUGCAUGUGAGCGUGUGGGCAUGUCGCAAUGAGGUCCCUUUCGAGUUUACAACACCGAACAAACCACGUGGGGGCGUGGGAAUGGCUCUCGAUCACCCUAUUGGCACGGGUGAUGGAUGGGCGAUGGAUGGGCGAUGAUGGGCGUUCUGUGGGCGUUCUGUGGGCGAUAGAUGGUCCGGUGAUUCGACGUAUCGCCAUAAGAGAAUUCCUUACCAUCGUCCAUGGCACGUCACGAGAUGGUGUUGGAAAUAGUUGGCUACUAGGAAAAAAACCAUUGGAUGGACCGUCGUGAGAACGGGUUGGUUGGAUGGUUGGGCGCAUGGGCGCAUCCUGGGAGAUCCCCGGGCAAUCGAUGGGCAUUGGAUGGUUAUCGGACAUCUUGUGAACGUAUGUGAUCACCAUGUGGAGCGUUGCUCGGGCAGGUGCUGAGCAACCCCAAAUAUGCGAGCUGGGUACUUUUUGUGGACGGUUGUCAAUCCUCAUGCUUGGUAGCCAUGAAAUGAAGGGGGUUCACCAUGCCUCUCCCUCGGAUAACCUUUUGAGCCCAUACCACACGGUCAUUUGACAUGUUUAAUCUGCUUCAUGUGCGGAAAAAAACAUGGUCUUCUCAACGAGUGGCUUAGGCUUGGGGGUGUGAGGGGGGAGGAGUGUGGUGCUGCCCACGAUGCAUCAACUUGCCCCGAUACUAUUAGAUGAUCGUGUUCGUCUCCCAUGCAACAUCUUAGUCCGUAUAUCGCUCAUCCUAAUUACAUUCGUAUGUAACGCUGCGGCGCAGGUGGCCAAAGCGGGCGAUGGAAUAAGGUGUUGCAUGGGGGCUUUAUAGGUCUCCCAUGCACCAUCUUAGGCCUUUUGAUCGCUCAAUCCGGUUACAUUCAUUUGUAACGCUGCGGCGCUGGUGGCCAAAGCGAGCGAUGGAAUAAGGUGUUGCAUGGGGGAAAUGUAGGGCUCCCAUGCAACAUUUUAGGCCGUGAUCGCUCAAUUCGGUUACAUUCGUUUGUAAUGCUGUGGUGCUGGUGGCCAAAGCGGGGCGAUGGAAUGAGGUGUUGCAUGGGGGUACUCUAGGUCUCACAUGCAACAUCUUAGUCCGUAUAUCGCUCAUCCCGAUUACAUUCGUUUGUAACGCUGUGGUGCUGGUGGCCAAAGCGAGCGAUGGAAUAAGGUGUUGCAUGGUGGAUCAUGCGUACGUCUGCUCCCAUGCACCAUCUUAGGCCUUGAUCGCUCAAUCCGGUUACACAUUGGCUUGUAACGCUGCGGCGCUGGUGGCCAAAGCGGGCGAUGGAAUAAGGUGUUGCAUUGGGGAAUAUCAUGGGCUACUACUUUGAUGCUUGGGGGGUUCACUAUGCCUCUCCCCCGGAUAACCUUCCCGGCCCAUUCCACACGGCUAUUUGACUUGUUUAAGCCACUUCAUGUGCGAAAAAAACAUGGUCAUCUCAACGAGUGGUUUAGGAUAGGGGGUGUGAGGGGGGAGGAGUGUGUUGCUACCCACUAUGCAUCAACUUGCCCUGAUACUAUCAGACGACCGUGUUAGUCUCCCAUGCAGCAUCUUAGUCCGUAUAUCGCUCAAUCCGGUUACAUUUGUUUGUAACGCUGCGGCGCUGGUGGCCAAAGUGGGGCGAUGGAAUGAGGUGUUGCAUGGGGUACUCCAGGUCUCCCAUGCAACAUCUUAGUCCGUACAUCGCUCAAUCCGGUUACAUUCGUUUGUAACGCUACGGCGCUGGUGGCCAAAGCGGGCGAUGGAAUAGGUUGUUGCAUGGGGGUACGCAUGGUCUCCCAUGCAACAUCUUAGUCCGUAUAUCGCUUAUCCUGGUUACAUUCGUUUGUAACGCUGCGGUGCUGGUGGCCAAAGCGGGCGAUGGAAUAAGGUGUUGCAUGGUGGAUCAUGCGUACGUUUGCUCCCAUGUACCAUCAUGGGGUGUUACUUUGAUGCUGGGACCUUCAGGGCAUUGCUACUAGAUUGCGUGUUGGGGACACUCCCGUGCCCAAUAACCCAGUUUGCACCCAUCCGGCUCCACGUAGUGCAAUGAAAAAAUGUUCACGAGAUGCCCCGAUACUGUUCUGACGCUUUUCAUGUUGGUUUGAAACUUGCCCCGACAGUGUGUCCCGAUCGUUACAACUAGAUUUUGCGCACAGCGAGCGUUUUGAACGACGCUUCGUUCUACCAUAUGUAUUGCCCUUUGCGGGGUGAUGCACACAUAUGGGUGAGCAGGCAUUGUUCCCAACGCAACGUGUUGGCGUGUGAGUGGUAGUAGAGACAUCCCUGCUUUUGGGCUCCGUGCUUCGCGCAUCGAACCAUAAGCAUAUGUUUCCCUCAUUGGCAUCCGGCGUACUUGAUUGUACGUCGGCAAGUAAAAUGGUUCCUGUGCUCCCUACCCGAAGAAAGUGGAAAAGAUCAUUGCUAACGAGAUUUAUUGCCUUUGGUCGGCCAAAAGCUGGCCGAGGGCAACAUGUUAGUGUGGCUUGUGAAACCAACCGCGGCGUUUGCCCGCGUGUCUGGUCAGCGAGCUCGCACGUGCUUGGGGAUAUGGAAAACAUAGAUGGGUCAGGGUUUUGAACUCGACCGACGCAAUCGUAGCUAAUGAGUGACCGCCGGACUGCAAUGGUAAGUCCCACUCCCUGCGUGACCAGGUGUAGUUGGGCACGGCGCGGAGAACCGGCGACAUGAAGGAAUGC